GACGAAGGGGGCUAGCGUUGUUCGGAAUCACUGGGCGUAAAGCGCGUGUAGGCGGUUGGUUAAGUCCGGUGUGAAAGCCUUGAGCUCAACUCAAGAAAUGCACUUGAUACUGGAUGACUAGAGGACCGGAGAGGAUAGUGGAAUUCCCAGUGUAGUGGUGAAAUACGUAGAUAUCGGGAGGAACACCAGUGGCGAAGGCGACUUCCUGGCCUGUUCUUGACGCUGAGGCGCGAAAGCUAGGGGAGCAAACGGG
rnacentral:rRNA from 1 species